rnacentral:rRNA from 1 species
UACGGGGGGAGCAAGCGUUGUUCGGAUUUACUGGGCGUAAAGGGCGCGUAGGCGGCCAGCACAAGUCAGUUGUGAAAUCUCCGAGCUUAACUCGGAACGGUCAACUGAUACUGUGCGGCUAGAGUGCAGAAGGGGCAACUGGAAUUCUUGGUGUAGCGGUGAAAUGCGUAGAUAUCAGGAGGAACACCGGUGGCGAAGGCGGUUCUCUGGGCAUUCCCUGACGCUGGAGGAGCGAAAAGUGUGGGG